rnacentral:rRNA from 1 species
GAUCCUGGCUCGGGAUGAACGCUAGCUACAGGCUUAACACAUGCAAGUCGAGGGGCAUCAGAAAGAAAGCUUGCUUUCUUUGCUGGCGACCGGCGCACGGGUGAGUAACACGUAUCCAACCUGCCCUUUACUCGGGGAUAGCCUUCCGAAAGAAAGAUUAAUACCCGAUGGGAUAAUGAUUCCGCAUGGUUUCAUUAUUAAAGGAUUCCGGUAAAGGAUGGGGAUGCGUUCCAUUAGGUUGUUGGUGAGGUAACGGCU